rnacentral:rRNA from 1 species
AUAUAAGCUAUUCCUUUGUAGUCAAGCGCUCAAUUCUGUCCUUUACUGUGAAUAAUUCGACCAUUUGAAGUUGGUGAUCGAACAGAAGUAUUCGUAAAUAGAAGAAGAAUCGUGUUUUAUCAAGAUAAAGCCAGGCCACACACAUCUUUUAUGACGCACCAGAAGCUCCGAGAGCUCAGAUAGGAAGCUUUUAUGCAUCUUCCCUACAGUCCAGAUCUGGCAACAAGUGACUACAAUCUCUUCCUAUGUAUCGCCAACGCACUUGAGGGUGCAAAUUGAUAAAGUGGGUUUAACGGGUAAAGGAGAAUCAGGGUUAGAUUCCGGAGAGGMAUCCUGAAAGACAGCUACCAAUUCUAAGGGAGGCAACAAGCACGCAAAUUACCCAAUGGUCGAAGACUGAGGMAG